CCUACGGGUGGCAGCAGUGGGGAAUAUUGCACAAUGGGGGAAACCCUGAUGCAGCGACGCCGCGUGAGUGAAGAAGUAUUUCGGUAUGUAAAGCUCUAUCAGCAGGGAAGAAAAUGACGGUACCUGAGUAAGAAGCCCCGGCUAACUACGUGCCAGCAGCCGCGGUAAUACGUAGGGAGCAAGCGUUAGCCGGAUUUACUGGGUGUGAAGGGAGCGUAGGCGGCAGCACAAGUCUGGAGUGAAAUGCCGGGGCUUAACCCCGGAACUGCUUUUGAAACUGUGCAGCUAGAGUGCAGGAGAGGUAUGUGGAAUUCCUAGUGUAGCGGUGAAAUGCGUAGAUAUUAGGAGGAACACCAGUGGCGAAGGCGGCUUACUGGACUGUAACUGACGUUGAGGCACGAAAGCGUGGGGAGCAAACAGGAUUAGAUACCCGAGUAGUC
rnacentral:rRNA from 1 species